AGUGAACGCUGGCGGUAGGCCUAACACAUGCAAGUCGAACGGCAGCACAGUAAGAGCUUGCUCUUACGGGGGGCGAGUGGCGGACGGGUGAGGAAUACAACGGACUCUACUCUUUCGAGGGGGCUCACGUAGGGACACUUACGCCAAUACCGCAUACGACCUACGGGUGAAAGCAGGGGAUCUUCGGACCUUGCGCGAUUGAACGAGCCGAUGUCGUAUUAGCUAGUUGGCGGGGUACAGGCCCACCAAGGGGACGAUCCGUAGCUGGUCUGAGAGGCUGAUAGCCCACCCUGGAGCUGGGACACGGUCCAGACUCCUGCGGGAGGCAGCAGUGUGGAAUGUUGGGCAAUGGUGGGGAGCCUUAUCCAGCCAUACCGCGUCUGUGAAGGAGACCUUCGGGUUGUGAAGCCCUUUUGUUGGGAAAGAAAAGCAGCAGGUUAAUACCCAGCUGUUGUGACGGUACCCAAAGAAUAAGCACCGGCUAACUUCGUG
rnacentral:rRNA from 1 species